CGGGGAAACCAUGCGUAAGGCAGGUGCCAUGUAUGCCGGCCCGAGGAGACGCACUGGAGACCAGACGCGUUGAGCCGGCCUCAUGACACCUGGCUCAAUGCCCAAUCUAGCCCUACCAGUGCGGGGAGGUGGAAUAACCCGCACUGGGCUAUGCACACGUACAGGAGACACCGUGCGCUCUACUGCGUAACACGGUGUCUGCCCGUACUCCCGCUCUCCACGGUUAGCCUGGGAAGUGGGCGCAGGUCUCCUACCUGCCCUUGGCCCACAACCCCUUAGCCCCCCCCCCAAGAAAUUUUUGGGAGUUACUCACGGGCUUUUCGGGCUUCCGUGCAAGACGUGUCCCCUCAUAAUUCCGGUUACGAGCUUGAAUCUCCGGCUUCCAUCCACGUCUCCUAGCUGCCUCCUCAUACCAGCGCUCCUGGGCUGUGGCUGCCUCACUCUUCUCACGAGAGCAGUGAUUUCCUCCAGUUUGCGCCCAGGGUCCUCUACCAGACAGGAUCUCCUCCCAAGUCCAAAAGUCCUUGUUGCUCCGUCGAGCAUUUUUCCCAUACCGCUUGGUCUCUGUAUUUUGGUGGGUGAUUCUGUAAUAGCUGUCGCUUUCCUCAUCCUCAGAUGAGGUGAGGAGAGAAGGAUCUUCUGACCAAAAUGCGGAGUCUGGGAAAUAUGCCAUCUUUAUUUUAUAACGAACACCGAUGACAACGAAAACAAACACUUUCAAAACUUACAAAAUAACAAACGACGUAGAACGGAACCUGAACAUAAACUCACAUAACAAACGUAAACUCACGGACAGGAACGUUACAUCGAAACACACGAACAGCCAAACAGUCCCGUAAGUGAAACACAUCGACAACGACGAAGACAUCACAGGAGACAAUCACCCACAAACACACAGUGAUAAUGCCCUACCUAAAUAUGACUCUUGAUUAGAGGAAAAUGCAAACCACCUGCCUCUAAUCAAGAGCCAUACCAGGCAAACCGAAACCAACAUAGAAACAGGUAACAUAGACUGCCCACCCAAAACACAUGCCCUGACCAAAAACACAUAAAAACUAACAUAAAUAGGUCAGGACUGUUACAGCAUGGCUUUCGACCUUCGUCUCUCCCGAGCCCGUACGGGAGUUGUAGCGAUGAGACAAGGUAGUAAUUACUAGCGAUUGGAUACCACGAAAAUUGGGGAGAAAAUGGGAUAAAAAUAAAUAAAAAAAAAUAAAAAAUAAAAAAAAACAAUGCUCAAAGGGAUAUUCAAUGUCUGCUUGUUUUUAUUUUCACCCAUAACGAGACAUUGGAAAACCACCCUGGUCUUUGCGAUUGAAUCUGUGUUUGAAAUUCACUGUUCGACUGAGGGACCUUACAGAUAAUUAUAUCGGUGGGGUACAGAGAUGAGGUAGUCAGUCAAAAAUCAUAUUAAACACUAUUAUUGCACACAGUGAGCAUGUGACUUGUUAAGCACAUUUUUACUCCUGAAGUUAUUUAGGCUUGCCAUAACAAAGGGGUUGAAUACUUAUUGACUCAAGACAUUUGACCUUUUCAUUUUUAAUUAAUUCGUAAAAAUGUGAGACAAAAUCUAAAUGUAAUCCAUUUUAAAUUCAGGCUGUAACACAUCAAAAUGUGGAAAGAUUCAAGGGGUGGGAAUACUUUCUGAAGGCACUGUACAUAUCUAACCAUAUCUGCUUAAUUCUUUGUUGGAUGCGGUAUCUAGCAGGCACAGUGACAUUCUCUAGAGUACAUGGUAUUUUCAGGUAAAGCGAUUGGUGUUGAAAUGGAGUUAAUUCCGGCAUAGUGUAGAUAAUUCUCAGCUCCUUUGUUAAGGCACAAAUUAUACAUUGCUCCAUUGCUAUGGUAAAAGGAGGGGGGGAACAUUUUCUAAAUCAUUGAAGCCUAUGAUUAAAAUGAAAGUUUAUGACAAGGAGACUCUGAGUUACUUAACGAGCAUCGAGGUCCUACUAGCAAACGGGUGCAGAACAAUAUUCUCACAUAGAAGCAGUCAAAAUUCUUUGACCAUCAAUUUAAUGCACAAUUUACUAAUAAAAUGCACAAUUUAUACAAUGGGACUAUGACAGAGGGCCACAGAGAGGUUUUUCAUCAUUAAAAUCAACAUAUUCCCGCCAGCUAUGAGUCCCAAAGGACGGUAGGUUAAUUGUUGGAGAUGGUGUUUGUUUUGAAUUGCUUAUUGUUCCUGCAUAUAAAAUGGCUAUAUUCAAAUUACAACUGUUCUGAAUGUUGGCAAGGUAAUUUUCCAACAUGUCCCUUGAUACUGAUCUGUAUUUGUCUUUAAUCUAACUGUGACAGUGAGUUCCCCGUACAUUCAACCAGCGUCUACACUUUCCAGUGUCCUUGGAAAGUGACCUCUGUCUUCUUAAUAUGAUUAUCUCAUCUUUCUGUUAUCUUUAUCACAGGGAGCCUUAUCAUUUAUGUAGUAAUGCUUUAUAGACAUAGAUUAGAUCAAAAGGACAUAGGGACAGUUACACAUUUUUCAUUUUUAUAAGACAUUGUGGGGCCAUAUACUCUUUUUACUACGACAUCUACCAAACAACUCAAACCCCAUGUAAAGAUAGCAGUUAUACUGCUUUAUUUUUUACAUCUAUAGUGCAGGGUUGGUUUAAUUGUCUCAUCCCUUGGUGUGCCUGAGUACUUUUGUAGUUUUUAGUCUGCCUUUGCAUUUCCAGUGGCACAAUAAGUAUCGAUCUACAAAGGGAACUACUGGGACACGUUGGACAUUUGUUGGUUUUGAUAAAAACUAAAAUUAGGACUAGCAGUUGCUUGUGUAACUGAUAGAUACGGUUUUGUAAGAAUGUAUUUGUGCUUCAAAGAGAGGGUUCAUCCUCUGAUCAAAGCCUAUAAUAGCUUGGUAGAAAAUAAAAUAGUUUUUUCCCCUGUCCCCUUCUCCUUUAUGUUCGGAAGUAUAAUUUACUUCUUUGUUUGUAGUAUGUGACUUUCUCAGCUAUCAAGAAAACCUUUUGGCCAGCCUUUCUACUUGUAAGAUGACUGUAUUCAGGGAAAGAUCAAACUUCAGAUGAAAGGGUUUAUAUUCCACGUCCCUGUCCCUUUUUUGCCCAUGCAGAAACUGCAGAUAAAGUCUUAAAUGUCAUCUACGCUGUGUAGGCAUCCCAACUCUGACCCUUUCAUGGCUCAUCAUUGUUUACUCUCACUGCUCUCUCGUCUUGUUCUCCUUUUGCAGCCCUGGCUCCUUUCAUGAAAACACAUUUCAUUGAAUUUCGAAAGAAUGGAGGAAUACGUCCAUUGUUGUUGGAGGUCUGUAAACAGUGAGCAGUAUGGUAGAAAAUACAGAAGGUAUCCGAUUUUAAAUCAGGACUCAAUGCCAACCACACCAUCUGUCAUUGGCUGAGAAGUCUCAUCUCUGAUGCCAUCCUUCCCCAUCUACAGGAACAUGCAAUGUCAGGGGUAUGGAAAGGCAGCUGGAUGGGAUGGAAAACUGGAGCCUUUUCCCACACCACAUUGUCCUCCCUUGCCUCUUCCUCUUGCACCUUGCAUUAAUGGCAUUCAGAGUGGAGACAGAAUGCUUUCCUGGUGAUGGGUAGGAAACAUUACUGAUUCUAAGAAGAUGGCACACAACAAUGUUUGAUGAGAACAAUGAAUCUGUGUCACAGUAGUAAACACUGUCAGGGGGAGAGGCAUUGUGUACAUACUGGGGGGGGGGGGCAUUGUGUUUACAAUUUCAAUUUUCUCUUGCCGCAUCUCUCUCUCUCUCAAAAAUUGCAUGUUUGGGGGCAUGGUCUGUUUCCAUGGUGCUCUAGGGCACCCAUACUUAAGGCUGUGUCUUUAAUGUGUAUCAUAGCUAUUGUUUUCAUAAUGCCAUAGAACUGUGGCUAUAUCAUACUUUAUUUUUACAUCAUUAUACACCACACACCCAGUUAUAGUGUAAACUAAAAAGCUGUGCAUGCUGCAAAUCUGCAAUCCAUACUGCAUACAGUAUCUCAACCACAAAUACAUAUGCUAAUAGGCUUUGUUUUGUGGUCAUGUCUUGAUGUCUUCCACAUAUCUGAUGUCUUCUUUUUCUCUUUACAAAGUUACACUGUGCCAGAUCAUCAAACAGGUACUUAAUUUCAGUGCUAUUGCCUGGUAUAUAAUUGUCUGCUGAGGUACUAUUCCCAUCGCUAGGAACAUAAAACAAAAUCCACUCAGGGCUGUUAGUUACUCCUGACCAAUUUUAUUUGUACAAAGUUUCUCAACUGAAAACAAAACUGGAAAAACACUAAUGGCUAUUAAUUGUAUUAAACAGAGAGGCCAUUAUGAGGAUGGCUGGGCAUUAGGGGGAACAAACCUUUCUAGAGGGAACAAGCCGUGAAAGGGGUAAAUCUAUCUCCUCUUACUGCACCCCCCUGGAAUGCACACAUGAGCAUGAUAUUCACUAUAAAACUCAAGGGCUAUGAGGGCGAUGUGCCCACCCAGACUCUUAAAGUAUAAAGAUCAUAAAAAUAAAUAUAGAUAGAAUAUAAAGCGUAGGGCAAGAGUUCAUAGUUCGCAUAACGGUCAUGGUAAGUCAGCUCAGAGUCAUGGUCCAUCAUAGAUAUUUUAAGUGUAAUAGCAGUUGAUUGAAUUGUAGUGGGUUGCAGUGCUCUGUGAGGUUAAGGUAGGCAGUGCUGAUUCGGGUAGGUAUUGUGGAGUCAUGUGAAGGCAGUGGGUUGUUGGAGGUCCAUUGAUCCUGCUUUACUCUACUGUAUGUGGCAUGUUGAGAAAAAGGCAUAUUUCUUGCAAGGGGUUUGGAGCUACAGUAUAAGAAUGAGUCUGUGCUGCUCAGUGCUUGCACAAAUGGUCCGCUAACACGAUUUGCUGAGGAAAAGGAGGUUUUUAAAGAUUUUAAAGUGAUCAAUAACAUCUUCUCCAGCACAUUAGCAUGCAGAGGGAAAACAAUACUGUGGCUGAGUCAAAGGGUUGAAAGGAAGCUACCUUCACAAAGAUGCUCAGUGGGCAGCAGCACUGCUGCUGAUGUUGUAUAAGAUGGAAGCCCUGACACUAUACAGUAGGUCAAAUCCACCAUGAGCAUAUAUCUAGAGCACAUCCUGUUCUCUACGUAUACUACAUUCUGCUCUACAGUAUAAUGGGGAAAGUGCUCUUCCAGCAACUAAUAAAAAUGCUGGCCUCUUUCUGCUAAUAAUAACCAUGCAGGCCAAAAUAAGUACCGGUAUAAUAUCAUUUAAACAUGAUUAUUUCGUUGUUGAGUCACAGCUCAUUCUGAAAAUGAGAAUAAACACAACAGCAUGAAUGUGAGAUACAAUGUCCCUAGGCUUUGGGCAUAACCCUGCUUUUAUAUCUGUUUCUGGUCUGUUUCUAGGCCUGCAUCUUUUAUUUAUACCCAGGUUUUUUGUGUUUGUUUGAGAGGGAGAAGAGGGGGUUCUGUAUGGUUACCGAGCAGGGCGACUCUAGUACUGUCCCUGCUCCCUGCACUACCAUGCGACUCAGCCUCAUAGCAGAGCAGAGCAGGGCGCAGCCUGAGAGGAGAGACAUGGUGGAAAUGAAGCGGAAAAACGAUCCUGGGCCAUCCUCCAACGCAACAAUUCCUCUAAAACUAUGCCUCUAGAGAAUCGAGGACAUCUCCACCCAAACAUGUAAUCGCCUACGUGCAGCAAAUCCCUCUAGGACUGCAGGCUACCCGGUGCUGUUGGAAUACUAAGACAAGAAGAGAAUUAAACUAUUUAAAUGCAUUAUUUAUUCCCAGUUUAGCAGGCAGACCAAACCUAAUCAGUGAGCAGUAAAAACGUAUGGUAAAAUAGGGAGUCCUGCCAUAACUCUACAAAAAACUUUUUAGAUAUUUUCAUUACCUCGUGUAAAAUACUGCAUGAUAGAGAUACCAGUAGGCCCGGAUUCACUGAGACCUCAUACUGAGACAAUAGAUUUAUUUAUAAUAGAUGUAUUUAAAAGAUGACCGAUCCAAUUAAACAUCUCCUUAUACUGUAUACAGUAUUUCAGAGUGAGGAUGGGGUACAGUAUGUUACCUACAGCCUGUGUAGAAAAACAAAAAGCAAAACACAAAAAUAACCUCUUUGGCUCACCAUGACAGCAACAACAAAUUCUCCUCAACACUGUACAUGAUAACAAUACAAUUAAAGAAUAAGCUUUGUUGAAAACAAAGAUGAUUUGCAAUUUAAAGCUCAUUUACUCAGGCACCAAACUAGAGAUUUAGGAAGAGAAAGCCAGGGAAUAUAGUGAGAUUAUUGUACUUGAAGCACUGAGAUUGAAUUAGAGUAGAAAAGCCUCCAUCUCAUCUGCUCAGACUGACACAGUAGAGCAUGUCCACAGAAUACAUCACAGCUGUGUCGUUCCACCAAUUAGGUGCCUUUUGAGGAGUGUAACUUGUUGACAUUUUUAUUUCACAAAAAUGUUACAUUCUGUCAUAAAGAGCACAUGUUCAACUUAAUAAAAAACUUGGUUUCCCAUCUUAAGAGAAAAAAGAACUCUAGUAAUUGCCUAUUAAGAUGACUAUAGUAAGUGACUAUUAAGUAAGUGCCUAUUAAGUGGCAAUUAAAGUAACAGGGUUGACAAUUUCAUCCUAAAUCAACCAUAAUCAUCUUGUGACAAGGGGAAUGGAAGUUUGUUGUGUGUAACAGUGAAGGGCAAUUGAACGCAAGCGUCCUAAAAAAAAAACAUUUCUAGCCUGUGUAUCUAUUGGUAAAAGGGUUGAGGUGUUAUACCCGAUCCGCUCAGUUUUCCACCACAAAAUGCCCAGAAAAUGGCCCAAAAGAGUAGACCAGCUCACCUGAUUUUACACUAUGAUAUGACUAUUAGAUGUUCAAUGUAAAAAUGAAAAAAGUAAGGAAUAGUUUCACCUUAUUAAAAGGAGAGUUCAGGUUGUGGUUGUUGUUUUUUUAACUUAAAAUGAAUCACUAAUCACAUCCUCUUCAGAAAUGACUUUGUCAAAGUAACAAACCAACUAUGGCUUUAGAAUGAUGGUGAUACUUGGGAAAAUGUUGGUGUUAAGUGGGUUAAAAUCUUCCUAUAAGUUACAGAAGAUGCACAGAGGGACAUUCAAAUGCUGAAUUUGCGACUUUAGCAAGUCUUAAUUAAUAUAAAAAAGGCUUUUAAAAUUCAAUAUUUGUGCACAAUCUUGACUUAGAAUAUCAAAGGCACUUAUUUCGCGGAACGACUCACCUAGCUACAGUACACUCUCACAAUUACAGCUAAACACCACGUUUGUCAGACAAGUGAAAUUAUACACUACCUGAUUCACUGAUUAGCACAGAAUGUUGACUCUGUUGAUUGUGGAUGUACCUUUUUAAUUGCUUCAUCAGUUUUAUGUAGCCUACUAAGCUGAACUUCAGCCAGACGACACAGGCAGAAUACAAAUCUACACACCUGCUGUCCAAAAAUAUCCAAACAUAGUAGACUAUUAUGAUGAAGCCUGCAAUUCACUGUUGUGUUACUUUAAAGUGCUCCACUAAUGGGCAAGUGUUUGUCAUUUUGGUUUGUUUACAUUAAUAAUGAACAUAAUGGUGUGGCACAAUGGUGCAAACUCAUUGUGCUGGUCAGUCAUGACUAAGUGAGUGACCAUAUAAAUCCAUCUGUAAGAGCUCUCAUGUCCUUCACUGGAGUCUGUUAAGUGGAUUUGAUAAAACAUGAAAGAGUGAUUACUCAUUGCAUUGUUUUCCGAUGGUUAUCAAAAGGGAAACUAUUGAAACCACUUCAGUUUUCAUGCUAAUUAGGAAAAGGGUGUGAAUUCAAAUCAAUUGGUGUUUCAAAUAACAAGGGUUUCUAAUGGAACCUUGUGAAAAAGUAUACUUUUAAACCCAUCUGUCUAACACAUAGCUACACAAAUUAAAUUAGAUCUUCAUGAAAUGACUGGGGUAACUUUACCAUUGUCUGUGAAUAAAAUAUUUUAUUGGCAUCAUUACGUAAGACACUGUUUUAAUAAACUGUUCUUUUCAA